rnacentral:rRNA from 1 species
GACGAACGCUGGCGGCGUGCUUAACACAUGCAAGUCGAGCGGUAAGGCCCUUUCGGGGGUACACGAGCGGCGAACGGGUGAGUAACACGUGGGUGACCUGCCCUCAGCUCUGGGAUAAGCCCGGGAAACUGGGUCUAAUACUGGAUAUGACUCCAUGACGCAUGUUGUGGGGUGGAAAGCCUUGUGCGGCUGGGGAUGGGCCCGCGGCCUAUCAGCUUGUUGGUGGGGUGAUGGCCUACCAAGGCGACGACGGGUAGCCGGCCUGAGAGGGCGACCGGCCACACUGGGACUGAGACACGGCCCAGACUCCUACGGGAGGCAGCAGUGGGGAAUCUUGCGCAAUGGGCGAAAGCCUGACGCAGCGACGCCGCGUGAGGGAUGACGGCCUGGUGUAAC